GACGAACGCUGGCGGCGUGCUUAACACAUGCAAGUCGAACGGAAAGGCCCUGCUUGCAGGGUCCUCGAGUGGCGAACGGGUGAGUAACCCGUGGGUGAUCUGCCCUGCACUUCGGGAUAAGCCUGGGAAACUGGGCCUAAUACCGGAUAGGAGCCAUGCUGAGUGUGAGGGUUGGAAAGGUUUUGCGGUGUAGGAUGAGAUUGCGGCCUAUCAGCUUGUUGGUGGGGUAAUGGCCUACCAAGGCGGCGACGGGUAGCCGGCCUGAGAGGGUGGACGGCCACAUUGGGACUGAGAUACGGCCCAGACUCCUACGGGAGGCAGCAGUGGGGAAUAUUGCACAAUGGGCGCAAGCCUGAUGCAGCGACGCCGCGUGGGGGAUGACGGCCUUCGGGUUGUAAACUGCUUUCGCUAGGGACGAAGCUUGUUGUGACGGUACCUAGAGAAGAAGCACCGGCUAACUACGUG
rnacentral:rRNA from 1 species